UGGGCUUCAAUCGUUUGACGUUAUUAGGGUUUUGGACUUUGUCAUUUUUCCAGGCCGACGAGCCUUCCGCCCUAAUCUUCUCCUUUACGCCGUCUCAUCUUCAGGGUUCAUCCUCUCUCUACGAUCUAUCGCGACGUCUGAUCUUCAUCUUCAUCACCUAAGCGGUUCCUGUUACGGAUUCUUCAUAUUGAAUCCCUUAUUAAUUCAAUCAACACCGAUAUAGUCUUGAAUGCAAGAUGUUCUUCAGCUAGGCGGUUUGUCAGGGAAUAUAAAAAGGAGCCUUGAUAGUCUCCGUUUUCCUUCUUCGCCUUCACCAUCAAUCAUUGCAGCUCCUCUGGCCGAUUGAGAAACUCGAGUUGGUCUUAUAGAGGAGCAGUUGGGGUUUCUUCAGUUGGUUCAAAGUAUAUGGCUGCUUCAAUCUCAACAAGUCUCAUUCUCACUGUUAGAUCCUAGGCAGUAUUAGUAUGCAGCAGCGAUAUAUAGAGACUUGAAAGUCUUACGAGAUAUUUUAGAAGUGAUCAUAACACACUAGGUAACUGAAAAUCUAUUUAUUCAUCGCUUUAUCAUACUUCUUGACUCAUGUUCAUAGUGUUAUACUUCGGCUUGAUCUGCAAAGAAGUAGCAAAGGUCGUUCCUGCUCAGACCUUGGCUGAUCAAGAACUGACGGAGACCAUGCAGAAGCUUCUCAUUGUAAUGCAAAGACUAGAUGACAAGAUUGGUCUAAUGCUUGAAUCAGACGGCGAGCUCUUCAACAAAAGGUUUCUCUUAAAAAGGGGCAAACUACGCAAGUAUCUAUGAUACCUCUUCUUUGUGACUCAUAGUUUUUGGGACAAAAGAUACUUGAUGAGACAAAUCGAAAAGUAUAUCCGCUGACAUAUACACAUCAAGAGUAUCCAACUUCCUCAACUACACACCCUUCAUGUAUUUCCGCUCACAGGAGCAGGUCAAAAAGCUUGGGAGAGUUCCAUUGAUAAACUGUGCUAAAACCAGCAUGUCCUCCAAACUGAUAUCUGGUGACAGGGACUUCUUUGCCAAUUUGGUUGUGGAUGCUGUUCUAUCAGUGAAGAUGACAAAUCAGCGAGGGGAGAUAAAGUACCCUAUCAAGGGGAUCAAUAUUCUGAAAGCUCAUGGACAAAGUGCGCGAGACAGCUAUUUGUUGAAAGGAUAUGCGCUCAAUACUGGCAGCGCUGCCCAGGGAUGCCAUUAAGAGUGUCUCCAGCCAAGAUUGCUUGCCUUGACUUCAAUCUUCAGAAGACAAAAAUGCAGCUGGGUGUCCAAGUUGUUGUUAACGAUCCACGAGAACUUGAAAAAAUCCGUCAAAAGUAUUUUUUUUUUACUGUUUUCCUUCAUCUGCAAUUGGUUUGUUAAGCUCUGGCUCAAACUUGAUGUAAUCUUUUAUACAAAUAAGUAUGGAUAGAGGUGUAAUAGUAGAAAUUCUGAAGCUCAAAGCCUCUGUUUUUGUAUAAAUGUGUAAUAUUCAUAUUCUCUGAACUAAGUUGAAGCUGGCCUUGGACUGCUUUGAUUUCUUGAGUA